UAAACAUCUUAUCUUAUCUUAUCAUCGCAACUUUCUGAUCGAAGCCUAAUGCCAAAAUCAUUUUACCGGUCAAAAUAGGUUAUUUUUUAUAUCUAUUGUGUAGAAAACAUAAGAUUUUGAGGUCACCGUAAGGGGCGAAAGUGGUGAAGCAGUAGACUGGGUAUAACAUUGAUUUCCAACAUUAGGCUACGUAUCAAGUUUAAUGCUGUAGGAUAAAAAUAUUACAAAUUUGACAUCCGGACAACGAAAUUUGAAGUGAAUUCUUUAUCAUCAGAUGGGAUACUGGUCUUCAAUAAGGUGGAUACAGGAUCAUGAAAAGCAUUUACGACUAUCAUAAAAUGGUUUGCUGUGUACCUGGAUUCAAAAUGGCCGUGUUUGGAAAAGUGGAAAUGAUUUUGAACGUUUCUUACGGAUCAAAAAAGUUUGCAAUUAAAUUAAAAUUACCAGAUGAUGAUAAAGGUGACGUUUUAACUGUGAAGCAUCUGAUGGAAGCCAUUGCAGAAGUAGCUGAAAUUAAACCAGAAAACCAAAAGCUGAUCUAUAAAG